GCCUUCCUAGAGUAGUUUGGGGGCUUACAACUCUUUAACACAGUGCUCUAGCUAGAAAUCAAAAGGGGCAGGGUGCCAGUGGAGGGCAGGGCACUUUUUAUGAUAAGAAAAGGCACUGCUCAUUUUUUUGUCUACGUUUCCGCGUGUAUCACGAGUUAACGAAUCUCUUUUUUUUUUACUGUAUGUUUUUUUUUUUUAAAUAAAGAUGCUUUUCAACUAUAGUCUUUAUUUCAUUGUUUGUGUAGUUAUGAAUGAUAUAGUACAUUUUCAUCAACAUAUUAUGUUUUUACAGUUUAACUUCACUCUACCCAUUAUCAAAGAAU
rnacentral:lncRNA from 1 species